ensembl:lncRNA
CAUCCCUCCAGAACAAGUUCCAUGGGAAAAAUUUUAUUUAUCAAUAUGCGGUAAUUUCCAAACUGUUGGAACGUUAUUUCCAUUGUAGCUGGUGCCGAUAGGUUACGCUGAGAAGCGGCAAAAGAAGUGAAUGGCAAAAAAAAAGAAGAAGAAGAAACAAACGAAAGAAACAAAACAACUUGACAGUUAUGAUCCAAACAAAGGGAAACAAAUUCAACAGGUUUUUUGCGUACACAUGCACAUUGAAAAAUAAUACUGUGGCAUUGAACAAUAGCAGAACUCAACCUACAGUGAGGCUCAAACCACCAGCAACCCCCCUUUCUCUCUCCGUCAAGCCCGGUAGUCUUAUUAAAACUGAGAAAAGAUUCAUCUUCCUGGACCAAAAUGGUUUUGUUACAUCUAGUAAUGGAGUGGAAGGUGUGGGUAACUCAAAGGCAGUGGAAUUAAAACAGUCUUCACGUGCAGAGUUAAGUGGCGUCCCCCACAGGGAACGGGCCUUCUCACUCUUACUUUCAAUGACCUCUGCAUUCCGGAGCCGCUCGGUGGCAACGCUUCAGUCCGCAACAGUUUUCUGAGCAACCACAGUCCCGUUGAAUGGCAAUGUUAAAACUCUGAACCCCAUUGUUGUUUUUUCUUAACACGUGUGGUAACAAAGACUUUUUGACAAUACUUGACCCUGCAAACAAACAAUAAAAGACAGCUCAUGUGUUGCAAUAUUCAGAUUAACUCUAAAAUAAAAAUAAAAACAGAAAAAAUGCAACAAAAAAAAUGCAAGGAUUCAUACAAAACACACUUUUAAAAAGACAGCUAUUUACAAACAUCCUCCAUUACAAAAAUCUAAUCUUAAAUUCUUUUUAUGAGCAGUGUUCAGGUGACAUUACAUCUUAAAUUGGGCUCUAUCCAUAUAUUUACAUUACUCUUGUUGUCUCCUUUUUCAUUUUCUUUUUUUGUUACUUCUUACCCAAAAAUUUGAAAAACGUUUGAGGUGGUCAAUAGAAUGAAUGGAAAUGAAAUAUGGUGUGUGGUAAUUUGAUAAUGACUCCCUUGGCUGGCCGUAGGUGAAUGGAUGCGCACCGAUCCGAAACAAAAAUAUUUGAUUUAAAUGUGUUUCACAGAGGGCCGCUGAGGGGCCGCGUGCUGAGUUAAAACACAGGGCCGCAAAAAAGCACCAGCAGCUGCUCAGGCCGUUAACUCCGAGGUUAACGACACGCAAACGCCACUGGAGUCAUCCAACCUCCCCCCCACC